GCGCACCAGGCGCGAAUACUCCGCAAUACACGAAAGUGUGACGGGGCCAUCCCGAGUGCCGUCCGCUGAGGACGGCUUUUCCCCAGUGUACACAGCUGGGGGAAUAAGGAGAGGGCAAGCCUGGUGUCAGCCGCCGCGGUAAUACCAGCUCUCCGAGUGGUGGGGACGCUUAUUGGGCCUAAAGCAUCCGUAGCCGGCUGGGCAAGUUCUCCGUUAAAUCCAACGAUUCAAUCGUUGGGCUGCGGGGGAUACUGUCCAGCUUGGGGGCGGGAGAGGCCGACGGUAUUCCCGGGGUAGGGGUGAAAUCCUAUAAUCCCGGGAGGACCACCAGUGGCGAAGGCUGUCGGCUAGAACGCGCCCGACGGUGAGGGAUGAAGGCUGGGGGAGCGAACCGGAUUAGAUACCCCCGUAGU
rnacentral:rRNA from 1 species